AAAAAAACGCUGGAUAGGUCCAUGAAAUUAAACAGAGGAGAAUAUUAGAAUGAUUUCUGAAGGAUCAUGUGACACUGAAGACUGGAGUAAUGAUGCUAAAAAAAAAACGCUUUAGGUUUUAGUUCUGUCCACUUACUUUAACCGGUGCUGUAUCUCACACCUGGACAGAUGCACUGCCGCUGUAUCCUCAACAGAGAAAGGAGUCUGAUGCGUCUGAUGAUUCGGUGAGCUCAGAUAACUGGAUGCUGACACAGACUGAUCGUGCAGAGGAAGAGGAAUCCCAUCAAAACUGCACUGGACAACCUGCAGUCAAUGGGGUUUGUUCAUCCGCGAGUCCAUCUCGUCAAGAGCCGACGGUACAUAAGAACUCACCAGCAGAGGUUCAGGAAGUGAUGCUGUGUAAUACGGUGGGGCAGCUGGAGACUGUGAGUAAUUCGGAUGUCGCUUUACCUCAGUGGACGCUCUCAUACCUGCUCUUACUGUUCACACUGCCAAUCUGGAGUGCCUCCACCUUAUGGGACAGAUAUCAGAAACGGAUCACUAAUGCUAUGACUGUGGCAUACUGGCUCUGGCAUGGGAUUAAGAUCUUCAUGAUUUUUACACUCAAAAUUGUACUGUCCUCUACAAGAAAAGCCUUUGGAGAUAUGAUGCUGAGUCUGAUCAGUUUUAUACUUGUGCAAGUUCACCCUGAGCAGCACAGACGCAGAGAGCUGUCUGAGAGACACACGAUGACCUCCUCGAAUCUGAAUGGGCGCGUCUUUGCUGUUCUCCCACCGAGUCCCUCCAUGGCACAGACCCUCCCAAAGCUCUACACGCUCCUGUUUUCACUAGAGACAGAGAGCAAGUGGAGAAGACGCAAGACAGAGGUGCAGCACACAUUACAGCGGCACGUGGCCGAUGUGAAAAGAAAUUAAAAACAUGUAAGCAAUGUGAGAUGUUUAAGGUUACUCAAAGUUUAAGGUUAACAGUAGUAACAGUAAGAAAAACAUACAGAUCUUCAUAUAGUUUUGUGGAAAAAAUACAUUUAUAAAUAUCAAUCUCAGUUAUGCUGUCAACGUUUUAACAUUUUGCUUUAGUAUUAUGAAAAUAAAAUAGCCACUUGUUGGUGUUGUUUGCUCAAUAGUACACUUAAUAUUUUUCUCACACAUUUAAAACAGGCUUUUAUAUGUGGAAAUAUACAGCUGAAUGGCCACCAAAAGGAAUGAAAACUUUACAUUAAAAUUACAAUCUUAUUGAUUUGUGCCAAAGAACAUUUCUGACCAAUAUGUGUGUGUGUGUAUAUAUAUAUAUAUAUAUAUAUAUAUAGUAUGUAUCGUCCUAGAUAUGUGUGUGUGUGUAUAUAUAUAUAUAUAUAUAUAUAUAUAGAUGUAUGCCUUAGCAUUUAUUUAUUUUGGUCUAAUUUAAAAGCAGAUUUUUAAUCAGUUCAAAAUAUAUAGGAUACCUGUGUUGUAUGGCCACAGCUGUUAGGUUAAUUAGGUGGUUGGAUCACAGGACUUUCAUCAAGCUCUGACUUCAAGCUCCAGGAAUCAGUUGAGAUCGAUUAGCAGUGGUGCUCAAAGCAGAAUGUGCAACUUUAUACAGGAUGCACUGAAAUGUCAAGGGUGGCUAAUACCAUUCCAGACGCCACUGCUGCCAUUCACAUCCACUAACAAAUGCUGCCAUUAUUUCAUGGCAACCAUUUAUAAAGACAUAAACUCUGCAAAAGAAACCAAAUGUGGUUUUACUAAAUGAUUGUAGCACAAUGGCACAACAGAGUAUAUUGAAACAUGGGCCUCAAUCAUGCAGUCGUAUGAUGCAUCUGCAGCAUACUGAUGCCAUCUCCUCAGUUAAAAAAACAUGACAAAUUACCUUUUAGAAAUGCCAUAUAUGCAAGGAGAUGCUCAACCUGAUCUAGCCAAAUAACACAUGAUUGUUGUGAUCCAUAUCUUACAUUUUAUACCCAUGUGUAAUGUUGUUUAGCGUAAAUAUCAUUUCUGAAAUGAGGUUCCACACAGCCCCAAUAAACGUUCAGUUUUCCAUGGUUUAGCCUCAAUGUCACACAUUUAUCUCCAAAAUAUCUCCAAUGUACACUACGGAUCAGAAGUUUGGGGCCGGUAUGAUUUUUAAAAAAUGUUUUUAUAAGAAGUCUCUUAUAUUUACCAAGGCUGCAUUUAUUUAAUUAACAAUACAGUAAAAACAGCAAUAUUUUGAAAUGUUAUUACAAUUUAACAGAACUUUUUUCUAUUUUAAUACAUUUUAAAAUAGCUCAAUUAUAAUUUAAAAUAAGCAGUCAUUACUCAGUCUUCAAUGUCACAUUAUCAUUCAGAAAUCAGUAGAAUAUGCUAAUUUGGUGUAAAAAAAACAAAUAUUAUUCACAGUUUUAGUAUCAGGUUCAACUGUUGUAAUUUUCACAGUCAGUCACUGUAAACUUAUAGUAUAAACAAACUACUAAAUUUGGCUUAUUCACAAAAGCAGCUACAAAUACAUCAGUUUCCCCCCCCCCCUGAGUUAACUCUAUUGCACUUUUUAUCUUUUUUUUUUUUU
rnacentral:lncRNA from 1 species